CACAAGUAUCAGCUCAACACAGCCUUCAGUCUCACCCUGGGCUUUCUCUGUUUUGUUAUGUAGAUUUUGUUGCUGAUACUGUUUUUUUUACUUUCUAUUUCCAUUGUGUAAUUUUCCAGGUUUGACUUGGGAAGCAGAGCACAGCAGCCCUAUUUUGUUGUAAUGUUGGCGGCUUCAGUGCUCCUCUAGGGCCUCCUUGGGUUCCUGUCCUCCUGGUCAGCCUGUCCCCUGAGAAUCUGAAGAGAAGUGAGACAGCUCCUGAGGUUACAGCCAGCCAGCAGAGGCCAAGGCUCCAACACUGAUGCAGGGCCUGAAUCCUGCCCCUUUGCUGGCCUGAGAAAAUCUCAGAUCAAGAGCUCAUAUUCCUGAUAUGGAACAGAAGGGCAUGAGGGGACCCACAUCUGGCCACACCUGCUCAAGGCUUCACAGCAAGGACAGUAAGAGGUGGCCAUAUUCAGAGCCUGGGUCCACUUCCCUCUGCCGAUCUCAAGCCGCCCCUCAGACCGAGACCCU
rnacentral:lncRNA from 10 species